rnacentral:rRNA from 1 species
CAGAUUGAACGCUGGCGGCAGGCCUAACACAUGCAAGUCGAGCGGUAACAGAAAGUAGCUUGCUACUUUGCUGACGAGCGGCGGACGGGUGAGUAAUGCUUGGGAACAUGCCUUGAGGUGGGGGACAACAGUUGGAAACGACUGCUAAUACCGCAUAACGUCUACGGACCAAAGGGGGCUUCGGCUCUCGCCUUUAGAUUGGCCCAAGUGGGAUUAGCUAGUUGGUGAGGUAAUGGCUCACCAAGGCGACGAUCCCUAGCUGGUUUGAGAGGAUGAUCAGCCACACUGGGACUGAGACACGGCCCAGACUCCUACGGGAGGCAGCAGUGGGGAAUAUUGCACAAUGGGCGCAAGCCUGAUGCAGCCAUGCCGCGUGUGUGAAGAAGGCCUUCGGGUUGUAAAGCACUUUCAGUCAGGAGGAAAGGUUAGUAGUUAAUACCUGCUAGCUGUGACGUUACUGACAGAAGAAGCACCGGCUAACUCCGUGCCAGCAGCCGCGGUAAUACGGAGGGUGCGAGCGUUAAUCGGAAUUACUGGGCGUAAAGCGUACGCAGGCGGUUUGUUAAGCGAGAUGUGAAAGCCCCGGGCUCAACCUGGGAACUGCAUUUCGAACUGGCAAACUAGAGUGUGAUAGAGGGUGGUAGAAUUUCAGGUGUAGCGGUGAAAUGCGUAGAGAUCUGAAGGAAUACCGAUGGCGAAGGCAGCCACCUGGGUCAACACUGACGCUCAUGUACGAAAGCGUGGGGAGCAAACGGGAUUAGAUACCCCGGUAGUCCACGCCGUAAACGAUGU